rnacentral:rRNA from 1 species
UGGGGGAAUAUUGCACAAUGGGCGGAAGCCUGAUGCAGCGACGCCGCGUGGGGNAUGAAGGCCUCGGGUNGUAAACUCCUUUCGACAGGGACGAAGCUUUUGUGACGGUACCUGUAUAAGAAGCACCGGCUAACUACGUGCCAGCAGCCGCGGUAAUACGUAGGGUGCGAGCGUUGUCCGGAAUUACUGGGCGUAAAGAGCUCGUAGGUGGUUUGUCGCGUCGUCUGUGAAAUUCCGGGGCUUAACUCCGGGCGUGCAGGCGAUACGGGCUGACUUGAGUGCUGUAGGGGAGACUGGAAUUCCUGGUGUAGCGGUGAAAUGCGCAGAUAUCAGGAGGAACACCGAUGGCGAAGGCAGGUCUCUGGGCAGUAACUGACGCUGAGGAGCGAAAGCAUGGGUAGCGAACAGGAUUAGAUACCCUGGUAGUCCAUGCCGUAAACGGUGGGCGCUAGGUGUAGGGGGCUUCCACGUCUUCUGUGCCGUAGCUAACGCAUUAAGCGCCCCGCCUGGGGAGUACGGCCGCAAGGCUA